GCGAGCUUAACACAUGCAAGUCGAACGGGAAUUACUUUAUUGAAACUUCGGUCGAUUUAAUUUAAUUCUAGAGGCGGACGGGAGAGUAACGCGAGGGUAACCUGCCUUAUACAGGGGGAUAACAGUCAGAAAUGGCUGCUAAUACCGCAUAAGCGCACAGAGCUGCAUGGCUCAGUGUGAAAAACUCCGGUGGGUAUAAGAUGGACCCGCGUUGGAUUAGCUGGUUGGUGGGGGUAACGGCCCACCAAGGCGACGAUCCAUAGCCGGCCUGAGAGGGUGAACGGCCACAUUGGGACUGAGACACGGCCCAGACUCCUACGGGAGGCAGCAGUGGGGAAUAUUGCACAAUGGGGGAAACCCUGAUGCAGCGACGCCGCGUGAAGGAAGAAGUAUCUCGGUAUGUAAACUUCUAUCAGCAGGGAAGAUAGUGACGGUACCUGACUAAGAAGCCCCGGCUAACUACGUGCCAGCAGCCGCGGUAAUACGUAGGGGGCAAGCGUUAUCCGGAUUUACUGGGUGUAAAGGGAGCGUAGACGGUGUGGCAAGUCUGAUGUGAAAGGCAUGGGCUCAACCUGUGGACUGCAUUGGAAACUGUCAUACUUGAGUGCCGGAGGGGUAAGCGGAAUUCCUAGUGUAGCGGUGAAAUGCGUAGAUAUUAGGAGGAACACCAGUGGCGAAGGCGGCUUACUGGACGGUAACUGACGUUGAGGCUCGAAAGCGUGGGGAGCAAACAGAAUUAGAUACCCUGGUAGUCCACGCCGUAAACGA
rnacentral:rRNA from 1 species